CCUACGGGUGGCAGCAGUGAGGAAUAUUGGUCAAUGGGCUUGAGCCUGAACCAGCCAAGUCGCGUGAGGGAAGACGGUCCUAUGGAUUGUAAACCUCUUUUGUCGGGGAGCAAAGCACGCUACGUGUGGCCUUCCGAGAGUACCCUAAGAAAAAGCAUCGGCUAACCCCGUGCCAGCCGCCGCGGUUACACGGAGGAUGCGAGCGUUUUCCGGAUUUAUUGGGUUUAAAGGGUGCGCAGGCGGAAGGUCAAGGUAGCGGUAAAAUUGAGGGGCUCAAACUCCUCGAGUCGUUGAAACUGGUGUUCUUGAGUGGGUGAGAAGUAUGCGGAAUGCGUGGUGUAGCGGUGAAAUGCAUAGAUAUCACGCAGAACUCCGAUUGCGAAGGCAGCAUACCGGCGCUCAACUGACGCUGAUGCACGAAAGUGUGGGUAUCGAACAGGAUUAGAUACCCCUGUAGUC
rnacentral:rRNA from 1 species